rnacentral:misc_RNA from 1 species
UUUCCGUAGGUGAACCUGCGGAAGGAUCAUUGUCGAAACCUGCCCAGCAGAACGACCCGCGAACUUGUAUAAACAACCGGGGGCGGGGGGCGUUCUCGCCCCGUGCCCCCGAACGGCGGGGAGACACUCGUGCCUUCUUGCCGAACAACGAACCCCGGCGCGGUCUGCGCCAAGGAACUUCAACUAAAGAGUGCCUCUGGUCGCCUCGGAAACGGCGUGCGUGCCGGGGGCGAAUCUUGUGCAAAACCAUAACGACUCUCGGCAACGGAUAUCUCGGCUCUC